UGCUCCAGGAUCUUUGAAAGAUAUGGUACAGUGGUUCUGAGAUCCCAUCUGCCAGCUCCUUCAGAACUCUGGAAUGUAAUUUGUCAGGUCCUGGUAAUUUGAUCUCGUCGAGAGUGGACAGAACUACUCAACCCUCGAGAACAGAUUUUGAAAAGAUUCUUGAAGAGGAAAGCAGAAAAGAUUUGCAGUUUCUUUGAGAAAAAGGCAUCUGGCAACAGAAAAAUUAGACUGGAUUUCACCCACAGAGUCUUCUGCAUCAAUUGGAUAUAGAUCUGCUAAACGUUUUGAUGAAGAGAUGAAUAUGAACGGACUUGUAAUCAACAAUUUGAGACCCAUCUUUGCAAAGACGAUGACCAGUACUGAGAUAGACGGCUUGAAUUACAAUGGAGCACACCAUUGGAAAACUGGGCUGGGAACAGAUCAUCUGCAGAUAAUUUAUCUGUGCUAAGAGUCAGCAGAGGCUUCCUGGCACAUAAUCAAAGCAGAAAGCGAAUUUAAUUGCAACUUAUUAUGUAUGUAUAUGUAUCGAUUUACAUGUAUGCUUUAUGAUGAUGAGUGUCUUUGGGUUAAGUCCCUAAGGUGAAGAACACUGUAAUUUACUUAAGAGAAAGCAUGCAUUGUCAAGGUAGCUCCAACAAUUGAGUUGACCAGGGGAAUCUUUGAUGCAUUUAAUGCUUUCAGACCUUAUUAUGGAAGACAUGAUAGAAUCUCAUGAGAUCAGCUUGGAGGAGCCUUCUCUACCCUUCCUUUGCCACCUCUGCUUGCCCGUCAUCAUACUCUUGCUAUUUCCCAGGGUGCAGCAUGCCGGCUUUUUGCUAGUUUGUUUACAGUUUUGUUUUUGUAUUAUUAGCUGGCAGGAAUGAGGGCAGAUGGCAGCAGGUGGUUACAGCUGAGCUGUCACACUGUGCUUUAGCUGGAAUGCAAAAAGCUGCAGAGAUCUGCUGCCUAGUGUACAGAUACUGGACUGUGGCCAGCAUCUUCUCAGUACAAUUUUUCUUUAAAAAAAAAAAAAAGGCCUCCAGAGCGUACAUUACAUUUUAAAAUGUCAGGAACAACUUUUCUCCCCCAAGUAUGCAAGCAAAAAAGCACAAUUCCCCCCAAGCUCUGUAGAUGUACACAGGCAAUGCAUAUAAAUGUAAACCAGGUGUAGAAAGAACAUAGAAGGCUAAACAAUAUUAUGUGCCUGAGUCUUGCAAAAUCAGUGGAAAAUUAUGUGCAAUGCUUGAUGGUGCAUUGUACAAAGAGAAUAUGGUAUUAUGAUAUUUUUUUUCUUUUCUCGGUGUAUUUUUCAUCUUCAGUAAUGUUACACAACAGAUUUUCCAGAAAACUACAUUGUUGUAUAAACGUGAAAGAAGCAGAAAUUGUAUAAUGUGCAGUUCUUCAAAGGGAAUUAUUGAAGUAAUUGGUAUUUCAUUAAUUUUUAAAAAUGUUGCUUGGAUUAUUUCUGUGUUCUGUCUUCCAUAGAAUGGAAAGAUAUGAGGUUGGUAGAUGUUUUCACCACCAAGGAAAACCAAUAGACACAUAAAAGACCAAAGGAAGCAUACUUAAUUUUUUUCUACAUCAGUGCUGUUCACGGUGUAUAUCAUGAAGUCCUUUCUUUUAUUAGUGUAUUUUUAGAGCAUGACAUAAACAAAUCUGGAAUGGUCUGUAAUUUUUUUUCAAAUUUAUGGCAUAAAAGUUGUUACACAUGGAGAAGGGAUGUGGCUGCCAUUAAUUUUGCUCCCAGCAUGCAGGGAAGGCAUAUGGGAUGGGUUUCUGUUGGUGUUACUGCCGGUUUGGUGCACGAUUUGCACGCUCCAUGUGCAUGUACAGUUGCCUGUAAAUAGGUCUGUGCAUAGACAGAACAUUAAAAAUGUCAAAAAAAAAAAAAAAAAACCAUGCUGCAGCGACCAGGGAAAGUUUGGAGGCGUGGCGAGCCUGCUGUCCCUACUGGUUCAGCAACCCAGUCGCAAUUUCCACUACUGGUUCACCCAAACUGGUGCAAACCGGUAGCAACCCACCUCUGAGGAGCAUCUGUCCAAAACAUAAUGCUUACCCUUCCAUGUACCUUUUAUUUUACGUAACAAAACUAGAUUUUCAGUAUAAAGAAGGAAUAAUGGUAGCUGCUAUGUCAUUAUCCAUAUACAAAAUCCCUUAAACCUGUACCCAUCCUGCAAUAUUCCACUGUAGAUUCUUGAAUACAAAGAAUCUAAAAAAUAUGUAUCAGAUUACAUAUGAAAAAGAAAGAUCUUAAAGUAGAAUAAACUCAAGAAUAUUAAAAGAAAAACAUUCACACUAGAAUAUAAGCCAAGUUCAUUCUCCUAAAUGUAGCACUACAAAGUC